rfam:Gossypium hirsutum cultivar TM-1 unplaced genomic scaffold scaffold4409.1, whole genome shotgun sequence
UAUUAAAAAUUUCAUCCAUUUCUACUAUUAAAAACAAGUGUAGUAGACGGACUGACCAAACAGUUACAUAAUGCAUGCCACGCAUAUCUCAUGCUGACAUACAAAGACCAAUUUUUAAUAGUAAAAAUGGAUGAAAUUUUUAACA